UGGGGAAUAUUGCACAAUGGGCGAAAGCCUGAUGCAGCAACGCCGCGUGAGUGAUGAAGGCCUUCGGGUUGUAAAGCUCUGUCUUUUGGGACGAUAAUGACGGUACCAAAGGAGGAAGCCACGGCUAACUACGUGCCAGCAGCCGCGGUAAUACGUAGGUGGCAAGCGUUGUCCGGAUUUACUGGGCGUAAAGGAUGCGUAGGCGGAUUUUUAAGUGAGAUGUGAAAUACCCGGGCUUAACUUGGGUGCUGCAUUUCAAACUGGGAAUCUAGAGUGCGGGAGAGGAGAAUGGAAUUCCUAGUGUAGCGGUGAAAUGCGUAGAGAUUAGGAAGAACACCAGUGGCGAAGGCGAUUCUCUGGACCGUAACUGACGCUGAGGCAUGAAAGCGUGGGUAGCAAACAGGAUUAGAUACCCUGGUAGUCCACGCCGUAAACGAUGAGUACUAGGUGUAGGAGGUAUCGACCCCUUCUGUGCCGCAGUUAACACAAUAAGUACUCCGCCUGGGAAGUACGAUCGCAAGAUUAAAACUCAAAGGAAUGACGGGGUCAUAGCUGUUUCC
rnacentral:rRNA from 1 species